ACGUAUACAAAUUUCCCUCGAAUUAAUCUCAGAGGUCAGAUAUUCACUUCAGUAACACAAAAUUGUACCCAAAAGCCUUGCUACUACCUCUAGAAAUUGGCCCAAUUUUUUAAGUAUAUAUUUUCCGGAAAUGCAACAAUCUUCGACAAAGUACAAAAUUCAACAUGGUGGUUCAAGUGAACGGAGUUGUUAACCUUGAACUCUUUGAACUCUAUCAGGUCAAAAAUCAACAUGACAUAGCCAAUUGCUUUCAUGUAUAUUUUAUGAAUGAAAAUAGUAGCGUCAUUACGAAGCGUGUUAUGGUUUAUUAUUAGACAACAAUAGUUAUGGCUGAAAAAGGAGCGUAUUUAACGGAUACAGUCAAGGCUAAACCCUCGAUUUUUGAAAUUGUUGCGCAAGAAUCUUUAGCCUCUACACUCGAGCCAGUCUUCAAAAAAAUCAUCUCGUAUUUGGUGUUGGUCAAUCCACAUCGAUAUGGAUGGCUUGAAAGAUGGUGCGAUGAGGCGUAUCUGGUUUUUAAUGCCGCUCUACAAUAUCACUAUCUCAAAAAAUAUUCGGCAUCAUUCUCCGAAACAUUUUAUGGGUUGAAACGUUCUUCAGUCGUGGCAGGUUCAGAUGGAAAGUUAUCUACUAAGCAAGAGAAAAUUUCUUUAUUGCUGUUAGUCGUCUUUCCGCACUUCAGAACCAAAUUAUUUAGGCUUGCGGAAGAAUAUAAAUUGGAAGUUGCUGAUGGUAAAAUACCUCAGAAGCGAUGGCAGAAACUUGUAAGGAAAUUGGUAAUAAAUGGAAACAUGAUAUUUCAUGUUAUUUAUGAAUGCCUAAUACUCUAUCGGUACCUGAGGUACAUGGCUGGACAGUCAGAAUAUUCAACUCCGCUUCUUUGGCUGGCUUCUGUUACAUUGUCUUACGCAGAUGGUAAAAAAUUCCUCACCAUCACUGACCUUCUCAUGAAGAUAAGACUCGGAACAUUGACCUUCAGUAAUGGCAUAGAUUUGUUUGGAAUGCUUUUUACUAGAUCACUUGAAUUUGGAGCUUUCUUUCUCCAGUUUCUUCGAUGGUGGAAUCAAGAAAAUUAUUACGUAAACCUGAUGGCUCUGCCUACACCUGUGCCUCCUGAGGUUCCAAAAAUAGCGUUACAGUAUAAAGGAUUAUGUCCAAUCUGUCGGAAAGGUCGGCAAAUCCCCACAGCUCUGCCAGUUUCAGGGUACGUCUUCUGCUACCAGUGUAUUCUAAAAUACAUACGAGAAUACGAGAAAUGCCCGAUCACAAACUAUCCAGCCAAAGAGGAUGACUUGAUACGGUUAUAUGUAGAGUAGACAGUUUCAGAAUAACGUUUCAACUACAUACACUCACGAUACCAAAUGUGAAGAUGCACACAAAAUAGAAAUAAGCCUGAAGCUUCACUGAAAAAUGGAGUUGCAGUAGAUUGAUUUGGCCGACGUAAGAUGGAAUUUGUAUGACGUAUUAGCACGUUCGUAGUUCUCA
rnacentral:misc_RNA from 1 species